rnacentral:rRNA from 1 species
CCUACGGGAGGCAGCAGUGGGGAAUAUUGCACAAUGGGGGAAACCCUGAUGCAGCGACGCCGCGUGAGUGAAGAAGUAUCUCGGUACGUAAAGCUCUAUCAGCAGGGAAGAAAAUGACUGUACCUGACUAAGAAGCUCCGGCUAACUACGUGCCAGCAGCCGCGGGAAUACGGAGGGGGCAAGCGUUAUCCGGAUUUACUGGGUGUUAAGGGAGCGUAGGCGGCAGCACAAGUCAGGAGUGAAAUCCCGGGGCUUAACCCUGGAACUGCAUUGGAAACUGUGAGGCUGGAGUGCAGGAGGGGUAAGCGGAAUUCCUAGUGUAGCGGUGAAAUGCGUAGAUAUUAGGAGGAACACCGAUGGCGAAGGCGGCUUACUGGACUGUAACUGACGUUGAGGCUCGAAAGUGUGGGGAGCAAACAGGAUUAGAUACCCGAGUAGUC